rnacentral:tRNA from 1 species
AGGGUAAUAGCUCCGUGGUAGAGCACAUGCUUAGCAUGCAUGCGGUCCUGGGUUCAAUUCCUGGUACCUCCA